rnacentral:rRNA from 1 species
GUGAACGCUGGCGGUAGGCCUAACACAUGCAAGUCGAACGGCAGCACAGUAAGAGCUUGCUCUUACGGGUGGCGAGUGGCGGACGGGUGAGGAAUACAUCGGAAUCUACUUUUUCGUGGGGGAUAACGUAGGGAAACUUACGCUAAUACCGCAUACGACCUACGGGUGAAAGCAGGGGAUCCUCGGACCUUGCGCGAUUGAAUGAGCCGAUGUCGGAUUAGCUAGUUGGCGGGGUAAAGGCCCACCAAGGCGACGAUCCGUAGCUGGUCUGAGAGGAUGAUCAGCCACACUGGAACUGAGACACGGUCCAGACUCCUACGGGAGGCAGCAGUGGGGAAUAUUGGACAAUGGGCGCAAGCCUGAUCCAGCCAUACCGCGUGGGUGAAGAAGGCCUUCGGGUUGUAAAGCCCUUUUGUUGGGAAAGAAAAGCAGCAGGUUAAUACCCCGCUGUUCUGACGGUACCCAAAGAAUAAGCACCGGCUAACUUCGU